rnacentral:rRNA from 1 species
CCGAGGAAAAGAAAUCAACCGAGAUUCCCCCAGUAGCGGCGAGCGAACGGGGAGCAGCCCAGAGCCUGAAUCAGUGUGUGUGUUAGUGGAAGCGUCUGGAAAGGCGCGUGAUACAGGGUGACAGCCCCGUACACAAAAAUGCACAUGCUGUGAGCUCGAUGAGUAGGGCGGGACACGUGGUAUCCUGUCUGAAUAUGGGGGGACCAUCCUCCAAGGCUAAAUACUCCUGACUGACCGAUAGUGAACCAGUACCGUGAGGGAAAGGCGAAAAGAACCCCGGCGAGGGGAGUGAAAAAGAACCUGAAACCGUGUACGUACAAGCAGUGGGAGCACGCUUAGGCGUGUGACUGCGUACCUUUUGUAUAAUGGGUCAGCGACUUAUAUUCUGUAGCAAGGUUAACCGAAUAGGGGAGCCGAAGGGAAACCGAGUCUUAACUGGGCGUUAAGUUGCAGGGUAUAGACCCGAAACCCGGUGAUCUAGCCAUGGGCAGGUUGAAGGUUGGGUAACACUAACUGGAGGACCGAACCGACUAAUGUUGAAAAAUUAGCGGAUGACUUGUGGCUGGGGGUGAAAGGCCAAUCAAACCGGGAGAUAGCUGGUUCUCCCCGAAAGCUAUUUAGGUAGCGCCUCGUGAAUUCAUCUCCGGGGGUAGAGCACUGUUUCGGCAAGGGGGUCAUCCCGACUUACCAACCCGAUGCAAACUGCGAAUACCGGAGAAUGUUAUCACGGGAGACACACGGCGGGUGCUAACGUCCGUCGUGAAGAGGGAAACAACCCAGACCGCCAGCUAAGGUCCCAAAGUCAUGGUUAAGUGGGAAACGAUGUGGGAAGGCCCAGACAGCCAGGAUGUUGGCUUAGAAGCAGCCAUCAUUUAAAGAAAGCGUAAUAGCUCACUGGUCGAGUCGGCCUGCGCGGAAGAUGUAACGGGGCUAAACCAUGCACCGAAGCUGCGGCAGCGACGCUUAUGCGUUGUUGGGUAGGGGAGCGUUCUGUAAGCCUGUGAAGGUGUACUGUGAGGUAUGCUGGAGGUAUCAGAAGUGCGAAUGCUGACAUAAGUAACGAUAAAGCGGGUGAAAAGCCCGCUCGCCGGAAGACCAAGGGUUCCUGUCCAACGUUAAUCGGGGCAGGGUGAGUCGACCCCUAAGGCGAGGCCGAAAGGCGUAGUCGAUGGGAAACAGGUUAAUAUUCCUGUACUUGGUGUUACUGCGAAGGGGGGACGGAGAAGGCUAUGUUGGCCGGGCGACGGUUGUCCCGGUUUAAGCGUGUAGGCUGGUUUUCCAGGCAAAUCCGGAAAAUCAAGGCUGAGGCGUGAUGACGAGGCACUACGGUGCUGAAGCAACAAAUGCCCUGCUUCCAGGAAAAGCCUCUAAGCAUCAGGUAACAUCAAAUCGUACCCCAAACCGACACAGGUGGUCAGGUAGAGAAUACCAAGGCGCUUGAGAGAACUCGGGUGAAGGAACUAGGCAAAAUGGUGCCGUAACUUCGGGAGAAGGCACGCUGAUAUGUAGGUGAAGUCCCUCGCGGAUGGAGCUGAAAUCAGUCGAAGAUACCAGCUGGCUGCAACUGUUUAUUAAAAACACAGCACUGUGCAAACACGAAAGUGGACGUAUACGGUGUGACGCCUGCCCGGUGC